AUUGAACGCUGGCGGCAGGCCUAACACAUGCAAGUCGAGCGAGCGUCGGACGGGUGUGUAAUGUAUGGGAACUGCCCGGUAGAGGGGGAUAACUCCUGUAACCGGGAGCUAAUACCGCAUACUAUCGGAUAACCCAUAUGGGAUUAGCUAGUAGGUGAGGGAAUGGCUCACCUAGGCGACGAGCCCUAGCUGUUCUGAGAGGAUGAUCAGCCACACUGUAACUGAGACAAGGACCAGACUCCUACGGAGGCAGCAGUGGGGAAUAUUGGACAAUGGGCGUAAGCCUGAUGCAGCCACGCCGCGUGUAUGAAGAAGGCCUUAGGGUGGUAAAGCACUUUCAGUCGGGAGGCGUUACCGACAGAAGAAGCACCGGCUAACUCCGUGCCAGCAGCCGCGGUAAUUC
rnacentral:rRNA from 1 species